GGCUAUUCUCGCGGCGGGCUCGUCCAGCCACAGCGUCCCGACGUAUUCAUUCACUCACACUCGAUCGGUGAGACGGUUCGCGUCUCUCUAUAUACGGGAGCGUAGCGAGAGGUUGGUUGGCAAGGAAGAGAUCGACGUGCAUUACACACCGAUAUGAGUUGCAUCGUGUAGAAGCGCAUCGGUGCGUAUGCGUGACCGGGUGCAUGGACGAACUUGAGGCCGAAAGGGAAAAGAGAGAAGGUGUGCGAGAGUAGUAGACAGAGCGGCGCGGCGGCGGUGAGCGCGGGCAAACGAUUCGGCAUUGGUGCUCAGGUACGAAUUAGCCGAAAACGCGCAGUCGCGCGUUGUUCCUGUCGGGUGGGAGGUGAUCAGCUGUGAGCACGCGAGCAGCGAGAUGUUCGUCCUGCAGAGAUCUAUAUUAUCGUCCAGCAGCAGGAAUUGUGCAGGAUUAUGGGCACGAUUACUGCCACCCACGCAUCCUGCAGCAAAGGAUGUUCAACAGCGGGACAUUCACGAGGUAUCCGGAGAUGUGAUACCUAUCAAUAUGGUGAAAGGUAUCGGUCAUCUGAGGGAUCCUCGACUUAACAAGGGUUUAGCAUUUACUCUGGAAGAAAGAAUAUCCUUGGGUAUACACGGUCUGCAGCCCCCGAGAUUUAAAACUCAGGAAGAACAGCUGGCUCUGUGCAAGGCUUCAGUAAUGAAAUAUACCGAGGAUUUAAAUCGAUAUCUCUAUCUAGUGGAAUUGCAGGAAAGAAACGAAAGAUUAUUUUUCCGUCUGUUGAGCGAGAACAUCGAACAAAUGAUGCCUAUCGUUUAUACACCUACUGUUGGAUUAGCCUGUCAAAAGUUUGGUGUUAUUUAUCGUAGACCUCGUGGACUAUUCAUCACCAUAUAUGAUAAAGGACACAUCUAUGAAAUCUUAAACAACUGGCCCGAGCAAGCGGUUCGCGCGAUUUGCGUAACAGAUGGAGAGAGGAUUCUAGGUCUCGGCGAUCUGGGUGCUUGCGGAAUGGGAAUUCCCGUAGGGAAAUUGGCUCUUUAUACAGCUUUGGCUGGUAUUAAACCGCAUCAAUGCCUACCAAUCACCAUCGACGUGGGCACUAAUAACGAACAGCUUCGAGAUGAUCCUCAUUAUAUCGGUCUGAACAAGCCCAGGAGUCAGGGCGCCGAAUACGAUGAAUUGAUCGAUGAAUUUAUGGCAGCUUGCGUGAAGAAAUAUGGUCAAAAUGUUCUCAUUCAAUUCGAAGACUUUGGUAACCACAAUGCCUUCCGUUUUCUGGACAAAUACCGGGACAAGUAUUGCACGUUUAACGAUGACAUACAAGGUACCGCGGCUGUUGCGGUCGCCGGAAUUUUAGCUUCCAAGAGAGUCACGAAGAAAAAAAUGUCCGACAAUAAGUUUGUCUUCUUGGGUGCUGGUGAGGCUGCCAUUGGAAUAGCUGACCUUUGCGUGAAAGCAAUGGAAGCAGACGGGUGCACGGAACAGGGGGCUCGUGAUAGUAUUUGGAUGAUGGACAUCGAUGGAUUAUUGGUUAAAAAUCGACCCGAGGGUAAUCUGGAGGGUCAUAAGAUCUGGUACGCGAAAGAGCAUAAAGUGAUGAAGUCUUUACUAGAGGUCGUGAAGGAAGUAAAGCCGACGGUAUUGAUUGGCGCAUCGGCGGCCGCGGGAGCAUUCACUCCUGAAGUAUUAAAAGAAAUGGCGAAGAACAAUGAAAGGCCAUUAAUUUUUGCGUUGAGCAAUCCGACUAGCAAAGCAGAAUGCACGGCGCAGCAAGCUUACGAUCACACUAAUGGAAAAUGCAUUUUCUCAUCAGGAUCUCCGUUUGGAGAGGUCAAGCACAAUGGAAAAAUCUAUAAACCCGGACAAGGAAACAACGCGUACAUAUUUCCUGGAAUUGCAUUAGGUGUAAUCGCAACUGGGUGUCAUCAUAUUACCGAGGAUCUUUUCCUUAUCUCGGCUGAAACUGUUGCUAAUCAUGUGAAAGAUGAAGAUCUUGAGAUGGGUAGUCUUUAUCCACCUUUAGGUACCAUUCGUGAAUGUUCCAUCGACAUUGCUAUUCGAAUUGCUAACUACGCGUAUGCGAAAAUUGGAUUAGCCAGCGAAUAUCCAGAGCCAAAAGACAAAUUGCAGUUUAUUAAGAGUAAAAUGUACGAUGCCAACUAUGACAGCCCACUGCCAAAUCUUUACGACUGGCCCGGAGAUUAUGCCAAGCCACGUAUUUUGCCGGAGAAAGACACUGUAGAAAUCCGCCACGAUUUAAAAGGUCUGUAGCGGAUUUUAUCCAGCUGGAUAUACAGAGGCUAUCAUUAUUAACAUUAUCGAUAAAAUUAUGACGUGUUGGCGAGUCUAAUGACGAGACGACUAUUCUGACGUAUUCAUAGUCGUUUCACGUUAAUUCUGUCAGGUUUGAGACUAAGCACGGCAUGAACAGUGGUCAAAUUCAUAAUCCAUUUGAAAAAGAAAAUUAUUGCGAAAAUGUGAGGAAUUCAACGUUUUCCAUCGAACUUUAUCUUUCAUUUUUUUUUUUUCUUUCUUUUGCGUAUCGAUACUUUGUACUUAAUUUAUUAUUAACUUAACGUCUCCUGACUAUUCACUAAUUUUCUAGCCGGAAUUUCGUUGACUGUAUCUCGGAUAUUUAUUUUAUUUAUUACUGGUAUGUUGCUUUAAGCUGAACGAUCAACACUAAUAAUUGAUGGUACGUGAACUAUAUCGCUUUAGUCGCUUGUAACAAUGAAUUAGUGAAUAGUUGCUUCUAGUAAUUAUGUCGCAUGUGUAUCGAUAUCGACGACAGAUUCAUCGAGUUGUACAUUUUAAGUUUCGUAUUAACGCAUCAACACAAGUAUUAUUUUCCAUGAGCAUCGAGUUAAACGUGUUGGACUACGCAAAGAAUUAUUUCAAAUAUUUUUUGUCAGGAAGAGAUGUCUUUUUAUCCAAUUAAGUAUCUACUAUGUAAGGCCGUACAAGUUGUCGCACCGAUUUCAUAACUGUAUCGAUAAGCACUUACGAUCAGGAACAGCAGAAAGACGACAAUUGUAACAGAAGAAAAAAAAGAAAUAACCGUAUUUUUUGUACCAUAUUGUAAUUGCCACUUUUACGUUAAGUAAAUGUAUGAAAACGAGAAUUCUGUCUGAAGGUUCCUAUAUGUUACGUGAAAUAGAAACACUGAUGAACAAUAUUGAUUAUACCGUUACUGCCUCACUAUAACUGUAACGAAGCAUCUAAUCGAAUAGAAAUUUAAAUUGUCUAUGUAUUCAUAGUAAACCGUGAUUUUAUCGCGAAUAUAAGAGCGAGAAAAGGAAAUUACUAAUCGUUCGUUCAUUAGGAUUUGUUACUAUGGCAUUAUAUACUAAGGCUAUGAAUAAACGUUAAACUAUGAUCGUUA